rnacentral:guide_RNA from 1 species
ACAACAACCAUAUGAAGAUCAUGUACGUAGAAGAU